UAGAAGUGAAUAAUGGAGACACUCUAGUUGUCAAUGUUGUCAACAAAGCCCGAUAUAACGUCACCAUUCAUUGGUAAAUAGAUUGUCUUCCAUAUUUCAGCUUUUCUA
rnacentral:pre_miRNA from 1 species